rnacentral:tRNA from 1 species
UCCCUGGUGGCCUAGUGGUUAAGGACUCGGCACUGUCACUGCCCAGGCUCAAGUCACUGCUAUGGCAUGGGUUCAAUCCCUAGCCAGGGAA